GACAGAGGGUGCAAACGUUGUUCGGAAUUACUGGGCGUAAAGCGUGCGCAGGCGGCCUUGCAAGUCGGGCGUGAAAUCCCACGGCUCAACCGUGGAAGUGCACUCGAAACUGCUUGGCUAGAGUCUUGGAGAGGAAGGCGGAAUGCUUGGUGUAGAGGUGAAAUUCGUAGAUAUCUGGAGGAAUACCGGUGGCGAAGGCGGCAUCCUGGACCGACAUUGACGCUGAGGAGCGAAAGCUAGGGGAGCAAACGGG
rnacentral:rRNA from 1 species